GACGAACGCUGGCGGCGUGCUUAACACAUGCAAGUCGAACGGAAAGGCCCUGCUUUUGUGGGGUGCUCGAGUGGCGACCGGGUGAGUAACACGUGAGUAACCUGUCCCUGACUUUGGGAUAACUUCAGGCAACUUGGGCUCAUACCGGAUAGGAGCUCCUGCUGCAUGGUGGGGGUUGGAAAGUUUCGGCGGUUGGGGAUGGACUCGCGGCUUAUCAGCUUGUUGGUGGGGUAGUGGCUUACCAAGGCUUUGACGGGUAGCCGGCCUGAGAGGGUGAGCGGCCACAUUGGGACUGAGAUACGGCCCAGACUCCUACGGGAGGCAGCGGUGGGGAGUGUUGCACAAUGGGCGGAAGCCUGAUGCGGCAACGCCGCGUGCGGGAUGACGGGAUUCGGGUUGUAAUCCGCAGUCGCCUGUGACGAGGCGUGAGUGACGGUAAUGGGUAAAGAAGCACCGGCUAACUACGUG
rnacentral:rRNA from 1 species